rnacentral:rRNA from 1 species
GACAGAGGGGGCAAGCGUUGCUCGGAAUUACUGGGCGUAAAGGGCGCGUAGGCGGGAUGGCAAGUCGGUCGUGAAAUCCCUCGGCUCAACCGAGGAACGUCGAUCGAUACUGCUGUUCUUGAGGAUUGCAGAGGAGACUGGAAUUCCCGGUGUAGCGGUGAAAUGUGUAGAGAUCGGGAGGAACACCGGUGGCGAAGGCGGGUCUCUGGGCAAUUCCUGACGCUGAGGCGCGAAAGCGUGGGUAGCGAACAGG